AUGGCUGACGACGAAGCUUCCAAGAAGAAGGCUGAGGCCGCCAUCGCAGCAUUGGCCUUGCCAACUGGAGGAACGCAUUUUAAGCAUUGGCGGAUGAGGACCACCUUGUGGCACAUAGAAAUGAACGUGUUCUGGGUCGGUGGUGUGUCUUUCACGAUAAUGAUUGCUCCUGAACUGGAGAAUGCGUUUAGGGAGGCAACCACCAUCUAUAUGGGAGUCGUUCUUACUGUGAUGGGAGACAAGUUGGUCGACGCGUAUCUCCAUACGCGUGUUGCCAAAAAUUUGUGGGAUGCGCUCGAAGCUAUGUUCGGCGAAACCGAUGCUGGAAGCGAGCUGUAUGCUAUGGAGUAG
rnacentral:rRNA from 1 species